UAUAAAAUAAGAAAACAAAUGUACCUGGAAAAUACUCAAUUGCCCUUUGCUCAAAAAAUUACACCUAAUUGUUUUGGGGGCAAAAUGUGUCUAAAAAUUACUUUUUGUGACUAAAUUCAGAAUUUGGCUACAUUGAAACUAAUGGUUUGGUCUGUUUGUGUUACCAUUGGGCCACAAAUGUACAAUAUCCAAUUUGCAUUGUAAUGUAACUGAACCAUAAAAUUUUCAUCAGUACAAAUGUUGCAGAUUUCUCCUCUGUCCCCACAGUAAAUUUUACUUUAAUUCAAAAACUAUACAAUCUUCUCUUUCUCUCUCGUCUUAUUUCUUUGUCUCUCUAUCUCUCUCUCUUUUCUCCUUCUUCUUCUUCUUCAUCUUUUGACUUCAUCUUAUCUCUUUUCUCUUCCUUUUUCUCUUCUUCUUCCGUCUUCAUUUUCUUUCCCUUUCUUCCUUCUCUUUUUCUAAUGUUAACGAAGAAAGAGAUCGGUUGGGUAUGGGUUUUUUUCCUUUCAGUUUAUAUAGAUGAAAUUAAUAAACCAGAAUACCUAAUUUGGUUUGUUGAUUUCAAUGGUUCUGCUUCAUUUCUGAUUAAAGUGAAAUUUCAGGGAAGUUGUAACUCUGCCCUUAUUUUUGUUUUGGCGGAUUCAUGAGGUAAGACUGGAUCCGAGUUUUAGGAUCUCAUGUGAUAGGUUAUUGACAAAUAUGUGAUUUUUCUAUGUCGGUGUUAUUUAUGUGUUUCUGAUUUAAAUCCAUUUCAUAUUUUAUGGAUUUGUUUCUUGUGUUUAUCAUGUGUUUGUUUGUAUUUUGUUUUUAACUCUGCCCUUAUUUUUGUAUUCUGCUUUUGUUUUUGUUUAUCAGGUUUUUAGGCAUUUGGCCUUAAAUGGUGAAGGUGGAGAUUAUUGAUGAAAUGAUUGUUGUGUUUUCUCACUCUUUCAACUUUGCAUUUGUAUUUUCUGCUUCCAAUGUUUUAGUUUUCUGGUUGGAACAAUGAUUUUGGUACUAAUAGCUUGGUUUAUGAUAGGGUGUAUAACUUUAUUUCAGUGACAUGAAACUUAUAUAAACAUUGUUGUGUCGAUAACAUAUAUGUCGGCAUUCGAUUCAAUUUUAACGGUCGGCCACAUUUUAAAAUAUCAAAUACAUUUAUUAUAAGCUUUGUGUCCAUAAAAAUUAUUUAAGAUGAUUUAUUCUGUUUGCAGAAAGUAUGAGAUAAAAGUUGAGGGAGGAUUGUGACUUCAUAGAGAGAGUUUGUGCAUUUAAAGUGAAGGUUAAGUAGAAUCAUAAAAUGGGUUAGCAGCGAUGAAUUUGUAGGUGGUGGAAACGGAUUUCCGGCAUUGUGGUGGUGGUGGGUAACACAAUGAAGAAAAGAGUGAAAGAGAUUGAGAUAAGAGUUGAGAAGAAUUUGAAAGAUGAAGAACACAUUGGUUUCUGGAAAACGAGAAAGAAGAGGACUGUUUUUUUAAUUUUCUUAUUAAGAUUUUAUUUUAAUAUUUUGCAAGUCUAGGUCAAUGUGAUUUGAUUAUAUAUUGAUUUAUUUGAUUUUAUAUUUAUUAUAUUUUGCAUAAAUAAUUUGUUAGGUAAUUUAAAUAAAUGAUCCCAAACUUUUCCUUUUUAGGUCAAUGUGAACAUCCUAUGUAAUUUUGACUAUUUUGCUUUUGAUAUUUUCUGAUUGCAAAAAUAAUAAUAGCACCCAUUUUUGUAUGCUCACUGAUUUUAUAUUUAUUUGAAUGAUUUCCGUUUGUGUUCUCAUCUUCAUCUACCGUAUAUGGUUGGCCAAAGGAAAUUCCAUGUACAUAAGAAUUCCCUCCCUCUGUUAGCAGCGAACCCAUUUCGGUAAACCAAGAUAUGAUUAGGAAACUAUUUAGGAUCAUUGGUAGACAGCCUGCACUGAAAGUUUUUAGAAAUGAUUAUAAUACAAUUGAUGGAAUUGGUGCAUGUUAUCAAACAAAACAAGACAUUGAAUGGUUCAUUUGGGCACAUUGAAUGGUUCAUUUGGGUGCAUGAAUAUUUUUUCCUACUGAAGAUCUAGCUUAGAUGUUUCUUACCUUAUUUUCAUGUUCGAAAUUACAUUCAUUUUGUUGAAGAAGUUAAUAUAGGUUAUGGGGUUUAU